rnacentral:rRNA from 1 species
CCUGGCGGCGUGCCUUUAUCAUGCAUCUCGAGCGGACAGAAGGGAGCUUGCUCCCGGAUGUUAGCGGCGGACGGGUGAGUAACACGUGGGUAACCUGCCUGUAAGACUGGGAUAACUCCGGGAAACCGGAGCUAAUACCGGAUAGUUCCUUGAACCGCAUGGUUCAAGGAUGAAAGACGGUUUCGGCUGUCACUUACAGAUGGACCCGCGGCGCAUUAGCUAGUUGGUGAGGUAACGGCUCACCAAGGCGACGAUGCGUAGCCGACCUGAGAGGGUGAUCGGCCACACUGGGACUGAGACACGGCCCAGACUCCUACGGGAGGCAGCAGUAGGGAAUCUUCCGCAAUGGACGAAAGUCUGACGGAGCAACGCCGCGUGAGUGAUGAAGGUUUUCGGAUCGUAAAGCUCUGUUGUUAGGGAAGAACAAGUGCAAGAGUAACUGCUUGCACCUUGACGGUACCUAACCAGAAAGCCACGGCUAACUACGUGCCAGCAGCCGCGGUAAUACGUAGGUGGCAAGCGUUGUCCGGAAUUAUUGGGCGUAAAGGGCUCGCAGGCGGUUUCUUAAGUCUGAUGUGAAAGCCCCCGGCUCAACCGGGGAGGGUCAUUGGAAACUGGGAAACUUGAGUGCAGAAGAGGAGAGUGGAAUUCCACGUGUAGCGGUGAAAUGCGUAGAGAUGUGGAGGAACACCAGUGGCGAAGGCGACUCUCUGGUCUGUAACUGACCCUGAGGAGCGAAAGCGUGGGGAGCGAACAGGAUUAAAUACCCUGGUAAUCCCCCCCGUAACGAUGAGUGCUAAGUUUUAGGGGGUUCCCCCCCU